rnacentral:lncRNA from 1 species
CCCCUCGGCCGCCGCCGUCCCGCGGAGCUGCCCCGCGCGCCCUCGGCCUGCCCUCGGCCUGCCCCGGGUCGGGCCGCUGCUGCUGCGGGGCCUGCGGCGCGGGGUCGCGGCUUCCCGCCGAGGCAGCCGCCCGCCUCCCGUAGUGCGCGGGACUUGCCUUUUUAAUCGCCACCGUCCCGGGUUGGUGUGGAUCCCUCACCGCUACAUCUUGUUAACUUGCUAAACAAUGUUUUUUUUUUUUUUUUUUUCCCUGCAAAUGCCCUGCAGGCCAACCGCAAUCCCAUUUUUUUAAUCCGGUGCGUUGCUCCGCCAGGCCUGCGGGUUGCACCGCUUUUGCGGAGGCCAGGCACGAGGAAGAAGCGGAAGAAGCGUAGUUUAGGGCCAAAUUCCAAGUUACAAGCACCGGGGAAACUCGGAAAAGGGAGAACUCGGUUUGUCCAGGAAUCCCCCAAGAAAGCCUUCAAAGACCUGGGCAAAGCAGAGGACUGUUAAAGAAGGGUAGGAUGGGGGGGUGGGGGGGAGAUGGGUAUAAUAGGACUAAUGCACCUCUGAGUUCUAUUAUUCUGAACAUUUUUCGAGACGAUGAAGAUGCACAAGAAGAUACAAAAUCACCCUUGUGCUCAUCACCUGGAUUUAAACUGUUCCUGUCCACGCGCAUGUGGAAUUUAGGAAGCAAAACAGGCAUAUAUUUGGAAACCCUUUACGUGGCCUACUCUUCAGUUUUCAGAAAAGUGGCAAGACAAUAGGACUUUCAUGAUAAAAUCAUAGAAGAUUAUCAAGUUAAAACAGAAGGGACCUUUUAUUAGUUUGUCAUUAGCUAUGUUUAUUUUUUAAUUUUUUUAUUAGUUAUGUUUAAAAAAGUUCCAUUAUUAUACACAUUAUUUUCUGUAUGUACAUAUUAAAAAUGUGAUCAGUUUUCUGUUACCAUAUUAUGUGAAAAAAACUGGUCAGAUUCUCACCAGAAUUUGAAAGUAUGUCUGGAAUAGUCAGGCUAAACUUAUAGAAUUGGUAGCAAACAUAAAAUUUAUUUAAGGUAUCCUGGGGAGCACCAUAAAGAUAUAAGCUGAGUCAUCCUCCAGAAAAGCUGUAGCUGAGAUAUAAUAAGAAGCUUAUGUAAUUGCCAAUUGAGAAACAUUCCACAUGUACUAGAUGCUGUGGACAGCAACUAGAAGUUCAAAAGAAAAGGAAAACAAGGUAUUUUAUCAAUCCAGUAGAAGAGAAAAAGAAAAAGAGAAAAGGUUGGUAAAUGGGACAUGAGAGUAAUAUGACAGAAAUGAGAUAAAUCUUUCACUAAUCACAAAAUCACCUUCUAGAUAUUUUCAGAUUUGUUACUUGCAAGAGACAUAUAUAAGACAAAACCAUAUAAAAGAAUAAAAAUAAAGAAACGAGAAAUACUUGAACAUAUUUAGCAAUAGAGCCCACAUUUACAAAGGGCAAAAAUAAUAGAUAUAUUAUAAAACUGACAAAUCUGUAAUCUCACUAGGAAAUUUUAAUGUGCUACCAUGAGAAAUUUUUAAAAGACUUAUUUAUUUUAUGGAGAAAGCACAUGCAAAAGUGAGUGGGGGAAGAGGGAGUGGGUGAGGGAGAGAGAAUCUCCAGUAGACUGUCUGCUGAGCAUGUCUCCUGAUAUGGUACUCUAUCUCAUGACCCUGAGAUCAUGACCUGAGCUGAAACCAAGAAUUGGCUGCGUAAGUCAGCCCUGAGUGACCCAGGUGCCCCUUCACCAUUAGAAAUUAGUAGCUAAAUCAGAAAAUCAUGAAUAAAAUAGAUUAACAACAAAAUUAACAAGUAUGAUCGUAUAUACCAUCGUGUACAACAAAUUAUAUUCUCUUAAAUAGGUAUGCUUCUAGCAAGACUGAGGAAGAGAAAGUGCAUAAACAGUGUUAGAAAUAACAAAAGGGAUAACUACAGAUUUAGUUGGUUUUGAAAAAUUAGAGAAUGCAUGAGAAAUUUUAUAAGGUUAGAAACAGAUAAAACAGAAAUCUGUAAACCACCAAAAUUGUAUUGAGAAGUAAACCUGAAUAAACUAUUCCCCAUCCACCCAACCACAUUGCUUUAAGACACCAGCUCCAGAUAUAGGUACAUAUUUCAAGACACAGCUAAUUCCUAUCACGUACAAACUAUUUCAAAGAAUAGAAAAAGAAACCUACUCAACUCAUUUUUAUUAAGGUAAUAUUACCUCAAUACUAAAACUAGAUGAGUAAUAUAGGAAAAGGGUAUCACUAUUAUGAAUGGAAAAUUGAAUUCAGUAGCAUAUAAAAAAUAUGUCAUGAUGAAGUAGUCUCUGUAAUACAAAGAUGAUUCAAAAUCCAAAACUCCAUUGUUAAAAGAUACAACAUAAUUAAAGGCAGGAGAACCAAUAAUAUGCAUUUCAAUAGAUACAGAAAAAUCAUAAUUUAAUGUCCAUUCAUGUUAAAAAACUCUUUUUUAAAAAGAUUUUAUUUAUUUCUUCAUGAGAGACACACACAGAGAGGCAGAGAGAUAGAGGUAGGCUCCCCGCAUGGAGCCCAGUGUGGGACUCGUUCCACGGACCGGGAUCAUGCCCUGAGCUGAAGGCUGACGCUCAACCGCUGAGCCACCCAGGUGUCCCAUCAUGUUAAAAACUCUUAGCAGACUAAGAAAAGAAACAAACUUGCUAAAAUUUGUUGAAGAGAACUAAAAACCAAUAUCAAAUACCAAAUGAUGCUGAAACAUUAGAAACAUUUCCAUUAAGAUAGAAACAAGAUAAAGUUACCUACUGUUAAUUCCAUUAUUCAGUACUAGAGAUCUGAGACUAUGUAAUGUAAUAAGAAAAAGAAAUAAGAAAUUUAGGAAUUGGAAAGAAAAGCUAACACUGUCAUUUGCAGAUGAUGCCAUUUCUUACAAAGGAAUACUAUUAAACAGUCAUUGUUCAUUUACUGCAUGCAAAGCACUAAAUAUGCUUCAAAAUCAACAUAAAAAAUUGAUACCUUUUCUACAAACCAACAAUAAGCCAUUACAAAACAUAACAGAAAAGAAGAUACUAUUCACGGUAGCACCAAAAAACAUAACACAGAAGAAAAAUAACAAAAUAAGUACAAGUUUAUUAGGAAGAAAAUUACAAAAUUGUUUUCCUUAAAGAAACACAAACUUAACCAGGGCCCAAGAAUCUUAUUGUACAAAAAACUAUCUUGGAAAAUUGAAAAUUUGGGGCCACACUUCCCUGUUGUUGAGGAGAACUUGUGUUGAAUCAUCACUGAUAGAGUGUUUUUCAAUGAAUUCCCAGAAAGCUGUGUCUGCACAGGAUUUGUUACUGCCCAGAAAGUUUUUGGGAUUGGGUUAUAAACUGGUACAAUACAUACACAUAUAAUAUAUAGAUUCAUUUUCUUAGUCAUUACCCCCCUCCAUUUCUUUUCCUUUAAUUCCCCGAUUUAGGUAGUCUGCUGAUUUAUGUAAAGACAGUACUGCAUUAUAGCAUGUUCUGGCCUAUUUUUCAGUCCCGUAAAGCCUCUUCUACUCAUGAAAAUUGUUCUGAUACUGAACUUGACUUUCAGAAACAUAUGAAGAAUGAAUGUGUGUAGGCCUUCUGACAUCCUCUCAGGAGUACAUUCCCAGAUUCUUCAGUCUGUCCUGAUGGAUGUAUAGAUUUAUGGCCACAUUUACAUUUUCUAUACCAUUCUGAUUAUUUUGGUUUUGUUUUGUUUGAUUAUUUUGUUUUGUUUCUGAAUGGUCUGUAUCAUUAUCCCCCACUUCCCUGAAUUCUGACCCAGCUACCCUUAAGAUAUCUGCCAGAUGUCUGACUCAAUCUUGUCCAGGACUUGAAGUAAUGAAAACAGCCUAGGGCACCCGGGUGGCUCAGUCUGUUAUGUGUCUGUCUUUGGCUCAGGUCAUGAUCUCAGGCUCUGUGCUCACCAGGGAAUCUGCUUCUCCCUCUCCCUCUGCCUCUCCACCCCCCAACAGAUGUUCUCUUUCUUUCUCAAAUAAAUAAAUGAAAUCUUUUUAAAAAAUGGGCACAGGGGUGCCUCAGUGGCUCAGUGGUUGAGUGUCUGCCUUUGGCUUGGGUCAUGAUCCCAGGGUCCUGGGAUCAAGUCCCACAUUGGGAUCCCCACAAUGAGCCUGCUUCUCCCUCUGCCUGUGUCUCUGCCUCUCUCUCUGUGCCUCUCAUGAACAAAUACAUAAAAUCUUAAAAAAAAAAACAAACCUGAGAACAAACCUUAGAGAUAUAUUUGGAGUUUCCCCUCUGCCUGAUUGUGGAGGCUAAAGUAAUCUGUCUGUACCUUGUCUCUGAAUGUCUAGAAGUUGGCAUUGAAAUAUAACCUCCUAAUUGCUUUCAUUGUGUAUGGGUAAAAAUCCUAUCUAACUUGUCCUCCUCUGUGUCUGGAGCUGAACAUUUCACUUUUGCUUGAAUCUGUAGUGUUUGACCAUUUCCUCAGCAUUUGUUCCUUGAGAAAACCAGAGACCAAUUCUAAUCCUUAGAUAGAUGACAAUAUGCAGUUUUAGCUCAGGCCACUAUAACAAAAUACCACAGACUGAGUGGCUUAUUUUCUCAUAGUUCUGGAGCCUAGAAAGUCUGAGAUCAGGGUGUCAGCACAGUUGGGUUUUGGUGACACCUCCUCACUUGCAGACAACCACCUUUUUAUUAUGUACCAGCAUGACCAUCUCUCUCUCUCUCUCUUUUUAAAAAAGAUUUGUUUAUUUAUUUUAGAGAGAGAGAAAGAGAGUGCAUGUGCAUACACAUGUGAGGGGAGGGGCAGAGGGAAAGGGAGAAAGAGUGGGAGAGAAUCUCAAGCAGAUGCCCCCCACUGACCAUGGAGCUCAACUCAGGGCUUAAUCCCAUGACCUGAGCUGAAAUCAAGAGUCAGAUGCUUAACCAACUGAGCCACCCAGGUGCCCCCUUUUCUUCUCUUUUUAUGAGGACACUAAUCCCAUUAUGGGGGUCCUAGGACCUCAUCUAAAUCUAAUUAUUUCCCAAAGGUCCUACCUCCAUACUAUUGGUUGUGAUCCCAAUGAACGAAUUAUUCUUUGCAAAAAUGCCUCUAGCUAAAGGUGAGUCUAGAGGUUAAAAUCCAGUCUGGGUUCUGCUAGUUAAGAUCUGCAUCCUGAUGCAGGGAAGGAAAGGGCCUCCCUGCCCUUUGCCCCUUUUUUGUAAUUUGCAUAAACAUACUCUAUGGGUUAACAAAAACUUGAUUGUCCUGGUAUCUUCUUAUCAGAUUACUCUUGUUUA